GGGUGCCCAAAUAUAAAUUCAUUGCUCUCUAUAAUAACUUCCACGACUUCAACCACAACCACUCUAACCUCCUCUUGUUUGUAUACCCGCACAAAUCUCAAACGGGAAUCUUCUCUUCUUUUUCUCUCUUUGAUCCUUGCUAAACCCAAAUGGCGAUAAGUUCAUGGUGUUAUCUUCUACUUCUUGUCUUUUCUUUAGGCAACCUAGCAAAUGCCACGGUUUUCACUCUCCAAAAUCUCUGCAGCUACACUAUAUGGCCCGGAACUCUCUCUGGAAACGGUGCUGCCACUCUUGGUGACGGUGGUUUUGUUUUGCCACCUGGUUCAUCGAUCCAGUUCCAGGCUCCACCAAAUUGGUCCGGUAGGUUCUGGGCUCGAACUGGGUGCGCAUUUGAUGAUUCAGGAGCUGGAAAGUGUGCUACCGGUGACUGUGGUGGCACAUUAAAGUGUACGGGAGGUGGGGCUCCGCCGGUCACCCUCGCUGAGUUCACUAUUGCCACGAACCCUAUUGACAAGGAUUUCUACGACGUUAGCCUGGUAGAUGGAUACAACGUUGGCUUAGGUGUGAAGGCAUUGGGUGGUUCCGGUGAUUGCCAAUACGCGGGUUGUCUGGUGGAUCUUAAUGUGAACUGCCCCGCAGAGUUACAGAUGAUGGAUUCGGGCUCGAUUGUUGCCUGCAAGAGUGCUUGUGCAGCGUUCAAUUCACCAGAGUUUUGUUGCACCGGUGACCAUUCGACACCGCAGACUUGCCCGCCAACGAAGUACUCGGCAUUGUUCAAGAAUGCAUGCCCAACAGCGUACAGUUAUGCUUAUGAUGAUGCAUCAAGUACUUGCACUUGCUCCGGGUCGGAUUACCUGAUCACAUUUUGUUCCAACGGGUCUGGAUGAAUAUCAUUUUGAUGGAUGGCUCCAUGGUUUUGUUUGUUGGUGGGUGGGUAAUUAUGAAAUGUGAAUGAUAGUUUAAUUUGAUUUACAGGGUAGUUUACCAUACAUGGAAUUUUUAAGGGUAUUAGCAAUAUUUGUGAUAUUAUUGAUUUAUAUGGUAGUUUAUCUUUAAACUUUAAUUCAGUAGUAUUAAACUUAUCUUUAGACAAAUUCAAAAUUUAGUUAAAACCAAAGAGUAAUUUAGUACGAAGGGAAUUUCCUUCACUUGCUAUUUCUGUUUGCUGCUUGGGGAAGAGCAAGGUGAAAGGGUGGUUGAAUUGAACUAGUACAGAGGUUAUGGUAUUUGAAUUCUUGAAUGAAAU
rnacentral:misc_RNA from 1 species